rnacentral:lncRNA from 1 species
AGCUGGGCGAGGUGGCGCGCGUCUGUAAUCCCAGCUCCUCGCUAGGCUGAAGCAGGAGAAUCUCUUGAACCCAGGAGGCCCAGGUUGCAGUGAGCUGAGAUCGCACCACUGCACUCCAGCCUAGGCAAUGGAGCAAGACCCCGUCUCAAAAAAAAAAAAAAAAAAAAGAAAAAGAAAAAGCCAGGAGGUGGGCAGUCAGGAGAGGCAGGUGGACCCGGGAGCUGUGGCUUCUUCUACUCAAGAUAGGGAAAGUACAACUCCCCUGGUUAUUAUCAGGACCAAUUGAUUUUGCCUGAUCUGAGAAAACAUCCUGACCACAGGUCACUUGAAAUGCCCUGUAAUUCAGAAACAGUGGCUGUCCACAGCAGACAGCUAUCUGGAUUUAAGACCCCAAAUUCACACACCACACCACAAAUUGUCCACUUACAAGCAAAAAAUAACUAACAGCAGCCCCCAACCCACUCUCAUUUUAUUCCCUUGGUUCCAGGUCUCCUCUGAGCAGGUCAUGUCUCCCGGUGUGUUUGCGUACAGGCUGUGGGGCUGGGGGGAAGGAGUCUUUUUUCCUCUUACCCCAGGCAGGACUGGCUCCAGGUUGCACAGAGCUCCACAGAGAAAACUGCUCACUGCAGAGAAGGGCAGGGUCCAGCCCAAGCUCUACUCUGAUGAGCUCUGAGAUCAGGGGUGGUGACUUCAUCUUCUAUCUAUGGCUUGGAACAAUGAUGAUGACCAUGACCCUCCGGUUUCAGUUCAGUCAAUGAAUGGGGAGCAAAUUGCUAUUGUCAGGCACUAGGCUAGGGAGGUGAUUCAGAAAGGCUCCCAGAGACCCACACACCAAUCACUAAACUAAUAUAACACGCUAAUGCUACAUCUACAGUAGGGAUAAAGUGUUUUAGGUACACAAAGAAGGGAGUUGAGAAAAGCUUCAGAGGUUUUCAAAGUGGUUUCCAGACCAUCAUCAGCCAGCCUCACCUGGAAAGUUGGUAGAAAUACAAAUAUCAGCCCCACCCCAGACUGGCUGAAUCAAAAAUUCUGGGGGUGGGGCCCAGCAAUCUGCGUUUGAACAAGCCCUCC